AGAGUUUGAUCAUGGCUCAGAUUGAACGCUGGCGGCAGGCCUAACACAUGCAAGUCGAACGGUAACAGGAAACAGCUUGCUGUUUCGCUGACGAGUGGCGGACGGGUGAGUAAUGUCUGGGAAACUGCCUGAUGGAGGGGGAUAACUACUGGAAACGGUAGCUAAUACCGCAUAACGUCGCAAGACCAAAGAGGGGGACCUUCGGGCCUCUUGCCAUCAGAUGUGCCCAGAUGGGAUUAGCUAGUAGGUGGGGUAACGGCUCACCUAGGCGACGAUCCCUAGCUGGUCUGAGAGGAUGACCAGCCACACUGGAACUGGGACACGGUCCAGACUCCUACGGGAGGCAGCAGUGGGGAAUAUUGCACAAUGGGCGCAAGCCUGAUGCAGCCAUGCCGCGUGUAUGAAGAAGGCCUUCGGGUUGUAAAGUACUUUCAGCGGGGAGGAAGGGAGUAAAGUUAAUACCUUUGCUCAUUGACGUUACCCGCAGAAGAAGCACCGGCUAACUCCGUGCCAGCAGCCGCGGUAAUACGGAGGGUGCAAGCGUUAAUCGGAAUUACUGGGCGUAAAGCGCACGCAGGCGGUUUGUUAAGUCAGAUGUGAAAUCCCCGGGCUCAACCUGGGAACUGCAUCUGAUACUGGCAAGCUUGAGUCUCGUAGAGGGGGGUAGAAUUCCAGGUGUAGCGGUGAAAUGCGUAGAGAUCUGGAGGAAUACCGGUGGCGAAGGCGGCCCCCUGGGCGAAGACUGACGCUCAGGUGCGAAAGCGUGGGGAGCAAACAGGAUUAGAUACCCUGGUAGUCCACGCCGUAAACGAUGUCGACUUGGAGGUUGUGCCCUUGAGGCGUGGCUUCCGGAGCUAACGCGUUAAGUCGACCGCCUGGGGAGUACGGCCGCAAGGUUAAAACUCAAAUGAAUUGACGGGGGCCCGCACAAGCGGUGGAGCAUGUGGUUUAAUUCGAUGCAACGCGAAGAACCUUACCUGGUCUUGACAUCCACGGAAGUUUUCAGAGAUGAGAAUGUGCCUUCGGGAACCGUGAGACAGGUGCUGCAUGGCUGUCGUCAGCUCGUGUUGUGAAAUGUUGGGUUAAGUCCCGCAACGAGCGCAACCCUUAUCCUUUGUUGCCAGCGGUCCGGCCGGGAACUCAAAGGAGACUGCCAGUGAUAAACUGGAGGAAGGUGGGGAUGACGUCAAGUCAUCAUGGCCCUUACGACCAGGGCUACACACGUGCUACAAUGGCGCAUACAAAGAGAAGCGACCUCGCGAGAGCAAGCGGACCUCAUAAAGUGCGUCGUAGUCCGGAUUGGAGUCUGCAACUCGACUCCACGAAGUCGGAAUCGCUAGUAAUCGUGGAUCAGAAUGCCACGGUGAAUACGUUCCCGGGCCUUGUACACACCGCCCGUCACACCAUGGGAGUGGGUUGCAAAAGAAGUAGGUAGCUUAACCUUCGGGAGGGCGCUUACCACUUUGUGAUUCAUGACUGGGGUGAAGUCGUAACAAGGUAACCGUAGGGGAACCUGCGGUUG
rnacentral:rRNA from 1 species